UACGAAGGGUGCAAACGUUGCUCGGAAUUAUUGGGCGUAAAGCGCACGUAGGCGGCUUAGCAAGUCGGAAGUGAAAUCCCUCGGCUCAACCAAGGAAGUGCUUUCGAAACUGCUGAGCUUGAGUACUAAAGAGGAUCGCGGAAUUCCCGGUGUAGAGGUGAAAUUCGUAGAUAUCGGGAGGAACACCAGUGGCGAAGGCGGCGAUCUGGGUAGAUACUGACGCUGAGGUGCGAAAGCGUGGGGAGCAACAGG
rnacentral:rRNA from 1 species